UUGGAGGGCAAGUCUGGUGCCAGCAGCCGCGGUAAUUCCAGCUCCAAUAGCGUAUAUUAAAGUUGUUGCAGUUAAAAAGCUCGUAGUUGAAUUUCGGGGUUAGUAGGUUGGUCAUGCCUCUGGUAUGUACUGGUCUCACUGAUUCCUCCUUCCUGAUGAGCCGUAAUGCCAUUAAUUUGGUGUUGCGGGGAAUUUGGACUGUUACUUUGAAAAAACUAGAGCGUUUAAAGCAAGCUAACGCUUGAAUACAUUAGCAUGGAAUAAUGAAAUAGGACGUUCGAUCCUAUUUUGUUGGUUUCUAGGAUUGACGUAAUGAUUAAUAGGGAUAGUUGGGGGCAUUAGUAUUCAAUUGUCAGAGGUGAAAUUCUUGGAUUUAUUGAAGACUAACUACUGCGAAAGCAUUUGCCAAGGAUGUUUUCAUUAAUCAAGAACGAAAGUUAGGGGAUCGAAGACGAUCAGAUACCGGCGUAGUCUUAACCAUAAACUAUGCCGACUAGGGAUCGGAUGAUGUUAAUUUUUUAAUGACUCAUUCGGCGCCUUACGGGAAAC
rnacentral:rRNA from 1 species